rnacentral:rRNA from 1 species
UACGUAGGGCGCAAGCGUUGUCCGGAAUUAUUGGGCGUAAAGAGCUCGUAGGCGGUUUGUCGCGUCUGUCGUGAAAGCCCACAGCUUAACUGUGGGUCUGCGGUGGAUACGGGCAGACUAGAGGCAGGUAGGGGAGAACGGAAUUCCCGGUGUAGCGGUGAAAUGCGCAGAUAUCGGGAGGAACACCGGUGGCGAAGGCGGUUCUCUGGGCCUGUACUGACGCUGAGGAGCGAAAGCGUGGGGAGCAAACAGG